rnacentral:rRNA from 1 species
CAGCACCUCAAGUGGUCAGGAUGAUUAUUGGGCCUAAAGCAUCCGUAGCCGGUUCUACAAGUCUUCCGUUAAAUCCACCUGCUUAACAGAUGGGCCGCGGAGGAUACUAUAAGACUAGGAGGCAGGAGAGGCAAGCGGUACUCAGUGGGUAGGGGUAAAAUCCGUUGAUCCAUUGAAGACCACCAGUGGCGAAGGCGGCUUGCCAGAAUGCGCUCGACGGUGAGGGAUGAAAGCUGGGGGAGCAAACCGGAUUAGAUACCCGUGUAGUCC